CUUGAACGCUGGCGGCAGGCUUAACACAUGCAAGUCGAGCGGAGAUGAGGUGCUUGCACCUUAUCUUAGCGGCGGGCGGGUGAGUAAUGCUUAGGAAUCUGCCUAUUAGUGGGGGACAACAUUCCGAAAGGAAUGCUAAUACCGCAUACGUCCUACGGGAGAAAGCAGGGGAUCUUCGGACCUUGCGCUAAUAGAUGAGCCUAAGUCGGAUUAGCUAGUUGGUGGGGUAAAGGCCUACCAAGGCGACGAUCUGUAGCGGGUCUGAGAGGAUGAGCCGCCACACUGGGACUGGGACACGGCCCAGACUCCUACGGGAGGCAGCAGUGGGGAAUAUUGGACAAUGGGGGAAACCCUGAUCCAGCCAUGCCGCGUGUGUGAAGAAGGCCUUAUGGUUGUAAAGCACUUUAAGCGAGGAGGAGGCUACUGAGACUAAUACUCUUGGAUAGUGGACGUUACUCGCAGAAUAAGCACCGGCUAACUCUGUGCCAGCCGCCGCCGUAACAC
rnacentral:rRNA from 1 species